rnacentral:rRNA from 1 species
AUUGAACGCUGGCGGCAGGCCUAACACAUGCCAGUCGAGCGGAUGAAGGGAGCUUGCUCCUGGAUUCAGCGGCGGACGGGUGAGUAAUGCCUAGGAAUCUGCCUGGUAGUGGGGGAUAACGUCCGGAAACGGGCGCUAAUACCGCAUACGUCCUGAGGGAGAAAGUGGGGGAUCUUCGGACCUCACGCUAUCAGAUGAGCCUAGGUCGGAUAAGCUAGUUGGUGGGGUAAAGGCCUACCAAGGCGACGAUCCGUAACUGGUCUGAGAGGAUGAUCAGUCACACUGGAACUGAGACACGGUCCAGACUCCUACGGGAGGCAGCAGUGGGGAAUAUUGGACAAUGGGCGAAAGCCUGAUCCAGCCAUGCCGCGUGUGUGAAGAAGGUCUUCGGAUUGUAAAGCACUUUGAGUUGGGAGGAAGGGCAGUAAGUUAAUACCUUGCUGUUUUGACGUUACCAACAGAAUAAGCACCGGCUAACUUCGUG